CGCGGUUAUACAAAAUAUACAAAUAAAUUUUUUUAUAUUAUAGUUAAAUUUAUUAUUUAUUAAAUUAAAUUUUUAUAAAUAAGGUGAAAUUUUUUGUAAAAAAUAAAUUUUUAAAUUUAUUAAUUGAAGCUAUGAGAUUUAAAUAAUAAACUAGGAUUAGAUACCCUAUUAUUUUAAAAUUAAAAAUUUAUUAUUAGGUAGUAAUAGUUAUGAUCUUGAAACUUAAAAAAUUUGGCGGUAUUUUAAUCUAAUUAGAGGAAUCUGUUCCAUAAUCGAUAACCCACGAUAAAUUUUACAUAAUUUAUUUAGUUUGUAUAUCGUCGUUAUAAGAAAAUUUUAUGAGGAUGUUAAUUUUCUAAAUUUUAUAUUUUAAUUUAUUUCAGAUCAAGGUGCAGCGUAUAAUUAUGAGGAAAUGGAUUACAAUAAAUUUAUUUAUAUGAAUAAUAAGGUGAAUAUUUUAUUUGAAGGUGGAUUUAAUAGUAAAUUGAAUUAUAUAAUUUAAUUGAUUUUAGCUCUAAAAUAUGCACAUAUCGCCCGUCGCUCUCUUUUUUUAAAAAGAGAUAAGUCGUAACAAAGUAGGUGUACUGGAAAGUGUAUCUAGAAUGAAUAC
rnacentral:rRNA from 1 species